GGUGUUGGUGGUUGGCAGUCCUAGCUUCCAGGAUGGGGUUCAAGUCCCUGCAGCAUC
rnacentral:sRNA from 1 species